CUCCAUUUUUGCCAUAAAGGGAGCCACAUUAGAAUCUUCCUGACGGAGUUAUCUGCAAAAGAUUGUUUUUGAGCCGAAAUCAUCCUAACAUUGAUUUGGACGGGCCUACUGAUAAAAUCCACCUCCCCAUCAGGAUCCACACGCCGCCUACUACUAGGAGGAGCUUCCUGAUUGAUUGUCCUCAUCGUCCCUUGUUCUCCUGUCCUGCCAUGGAACACCUCAUGCUCACCACCAUCACGUGCUUCAUUUGGUCGCCCGGGCCUGUUGUCAUCGUCCUCGUUAUCGCUGAGCUCUCUGCUGUAGUAGAGCUCGUCUUCCGGGAAAGUUUCCAUCUCCCUCCGUCUCCCUGUGUCAAAAAAGAUGAACAAUCAAUGCGAUAAAAUGUAAUCUGAUAAAAGGAAGCAGAAACCUUUAGUUUAAUAGCACAGUGUCUGUUUUGUACAGCAGGAAAAUCUCACUCUAAACCGGCUUUACACAAAAAGCAUUUAUUAUACGCUACAGUGAUAAACAAAGCCUCGCUGUCCAGAAUUUAAACAGCAACUUUAUACUUUUGGUUAAUCUGCACUGUACAUUGCCACACUAGCUCUAUUUAUUUGUAUUGAUUGAGCUUUGCUCAGCUCGCUGCCUUUCCUAACAGCACCUUUCAAACUCAGCUUUCACAACAAAUGACACUGAAAAAUUUUCGCCUGUUAAUGAUAUAUAUAAGCACUUUAAACACUUGAUACUUAAGUGAAAAAAAAGAAAAGUCAGAAAGUUACCGUUCCAAGGGUCGUACAGUCCACUCCAUACGGGCUCGGGAUCGACAUCCUGGUGCUGCGUCACGUUUCCUCCGAAUUUCAUCAUCGCUGCCGGUGUAGUGUCGAUGAAAAUCCACAAUUGGAGGCAGAGAACAAGUAAAAUAGCGGUGUAAAAAUAUUGCAGUCAGUAAUCCAAUCGUCAUUUAAUAAAACGUCAUUUAAAACAAAUCCAAUUUCUAGUGAGAAAAAAGUAAGGACAGCCCCACAUUUAUUUGUACUUUAAAAUGUCUAAAAUGACCAACAGGUAAAUCACAGCAGGUGCAAAUGUUUACAACAUGUUUACAAAGCAUUAUGAAGGAGGCUUGAAUUAUUUAAACUUCAGACUUUUAGUAUAGUUUGCUUUUAAUUGUUGAAGUGAGAGAUAUCACUAUGAUACACAGCAGUUCAUGGCAUGGUGUCAGAGUCACUGGGAUAAAAUAAACAGGUUUUAAUAAAACACCAAACAGAGACUAGGACAAGACGACAAUGACAGGACAAAACAGGAUUUUGUGCUGAUCAAGACAACGCGGCUCAAAUAAACAUACCAGCAGCAGUGGACUCCUGAUUUGAAGGACCUCCUUAGGAGUGGAUAUUGGCCAGCUUCUGUCAGCAAUUCAAUGCUGUAUACACUGGACCUCCUGAGCACCUUUCAGGAGCUCAAGGUCACUGCUCCAGGAUUCUCCAGACAAGCCUUUGCAAAGCUGCUGGAGCAUCGGACUAAGUGUGGAGGAAAAAUUAAAUGGAGUGGUAGGAACCAGGAAGGAGCAGGAACAACAGCCGGAGAGGAGGUGGAGCAAGUGAACAGCUACCUGUCACGUUGUGCCCUGACUACCAAAUAUACUCACGGGUGGACAUGGUUACUUUGCAUGCAGUGGGGUGGAACCACAAAAAAAAGUCUCUCUCUACAUCCGGCACUUUCCACAAGAUAAUGUGAAGACUUGUCAGAGACUCUAGGAUGAGACUGCAAGGCAAGCUGAACUCAAAACAGAGCUACAUUGCAUAGAUGAAUUGGUGUCACAGUGGCUCUCUGAUGUGAAGGAAUUGGCAGCUGAUGAGACACCAGAUACAUCUCGUGCCAGUCAAGUAGUGUGUGUGGCCUCCAUGUGCCUGUAUGACAUCCCUACAACGCCUGGGCAUGCUCCUGAUGAGGUGGUGGAUGGUCUCCUGAGGGAUCUCCUCCCAGACCUGGACUAAAGCAUCCGCCAACUCUUGGACAGUCCGUGUGGCGU